rnacentral:rRNA from 1 species
UACGGGGGUGCAAGCGUUGUCCGGAUUUAUUGGGCGUAAAGGGCUCGUAGGCGGGAUGGUAAGUCUGGCGUGAAAUCUCUCGGCUCAACCGGGAAGCUGCGCUGGAAACUGCCGUUCUUGAGUUGCGGAGAGGAAGUUGGAAUUCCUGGUGUAGCGGUGGAAUGCGUAGAUAUCAGGAAGAACACCAAUAGCGAAGGCAAACUUCUGGCCGCCAACUGACGCUGAGGAGCGACAGCGUGGGGAGCAAACAGG